UGGUGCGCCGUGGGAUGUGCGCAAGACAGGGGCUGCGCGAGCGGUGCGGGACGUUGCUCAGGCAUAAGCGACGUGCGGAAGCAUGGCCGCGGCGCGUAGGCCUCGGAGCGUGUGGCUGGCGCAACGGGUCACCUCGGCGUGCUGCUCUUCAUGGAGUAUUCCCCAGCGGACGCGGCCGGAUUCGAGCCGGCCAAUGCUGGAGGAGAGAUCGGCCGCGACAUGGUGGCCGUUGGCGAUGAUGACCUUGGCAUCAUGCAAGGCGGGUGUCCGCGACCACUGCUGGAUCGGGGUGGACAUGAGCGGCGAGAGAGAGCUCACCGAGGGCUCGUCGGAUCCGCACAACCACAAGAAGCCGUGCUUGGAGACCGAGGACGAGAUGCCGCUUGCGGACGCCUGCCUCUGACUGUCGAAGCGGCCCCUGGACAGGGCUGCUGGAUUCAUCUUGUUCUACAGGGGAGCUGAUGGACUGAUCAACAGCUUCAGCUGCACGAAUGCAACUAUAAGCCUCCCUAAAUUAGCUUUUCAAUUCAGAACAAACAGAAACUGAAUUUCUCCUUUUGCUAAUAUGCUUGUUGCAUUUACGUUUUCAGAUUAACAAGUUCAAGGAUGCCCUCGCGAAGCACGGGCCUGAAUCCAUGCUUUUCCAUGCCUUAUUAUGAUGCAUACACUUGUUUGUAUGAUGGGAUGUGUAGAUUUCUAGGAUAGUUGGAUUCAAAUUUCAAAUAUUAACGAUCUAGUAGUAUCCAUGCCUCAUGCUAGAUUUUAUGCUUGUUUGCAAGAUGAUUUGAACAUAUUGGUACUAACCACUUCCUGACAUGUUGCACCAAUCAUAUAUGCAUAUUGGUCUACCAUAGAUACUUUUCUAUGAUUUCGUUCUACUAUUUUUAUGAGUAAUCAUAUAUGGCAUGUUAGUUGCAUCAAUUGUUGCUUUUGGCCAAUGAUUAAUCAUUUCAUCUGCUAAUUUGGUUGAAUUAGCACUGUAAUUCUGCAACUAGCUCGUGUUUUAGGCUGCAAUUAUUUGGAAUCAUAUAUAUGUUUGUGUUUGAGCAUAGAUACUACAAGUUGAUUGUGUACCCAUACUUGCAGGUGGCGUUGUGGGUGUGAGGCGCCCCGGAUCUACAGAUGGGAGCGACGGCGCCUCGGUUUCUAUGCUUCUAUGGGACGCGCGAUGCAUAGCCAUGUGUCAUCGCAGCUUGUGGCUGUGGGGAGCAGAUGUGCAGCGCAGCUGGGACAAUAAGCAGCGAAGCAGGGUCUUCUCGUGAAAAUUUUGUACUAUCCAUAGCUGGUUUAUAUGAUCGUCUCACUGGUUUAUAUGUUUGCCAACACUGUUUCUACACAAGUCCACAUGAGACCCAUAGUCCCCCAAAUCUGCUACAUAUACGGCAAUUUGGACAACAGGGGUGAUCAUUGAGUUGGGCGAUGGCUGGAAGUUUUUGGGUCUCUUUUUCGAGAGGCCGGUGCUUUGUGGCCUAUGUUAGUGGUACCAUGUCUAUGUGUAGGCUGUUGACUAAUCUUGUAAAGCACUUGGAAUGUAUCUUGAGUACUUGAUUUAGGAAACUAUCUGAUGUAUGGACAACUUCAGUGAUGACUUCAUCUUGCUAACGAAUGAUAUGAUGAAUACCUGAUGCAAGACUUUAUUCUUGAUUACC